rnacentral:rRNA from 1 species
AGUGAACGCUGGCGGUAGGCCUAACACAUGCAAGUCGAACGGCAGCACAGUAAGAGCUUGCUCUUACGGGUGGCGAGUGGCGGACGGGUGAGGAAUACAUCGGAAUCUACUUUUUCGUGGGGGAUAACGUAGGGAAACUUACGCUAAUACCGCAUACGACCUACGGGUGAAAGCAGGGGAUCUUCGGACCUUGCGCGAUUGAAUGAGCCGAUGUCGGAUUAGCUAGUUGGCGGGGUAAAGGCCCACCAAGGCGACGAUCCGUAGCUGGUCUGAGAGGAUGAUCAGCCAGACUGGAACUGAGACACGGUCCAGACUCCUACGGGAGGCAACAGUGGGGAAUAUUGGACAAUGGGCGCAAGCCUGAUCCAGCCAUACCGCGUGGGUGAAGAAGGCCUUCGGGUUGUAAAGCCCUUUUGUUGGGAAAGAAAAGCAGCAGGUUAAUACCCCGCUGUUCUGACGGUACCCAAAGAAUAAGCACCGGCUAACUUCGUG